rnacentral:tRNA from 1 species
GCCUGGGUGGCUCAGUCAGUUAAGCAUCUGACUUUGGCUCAGGUCAUGAUCUCACGGUUCGUGAGUUCGAGCCCCACAUCUGGCU